GACGAACGCUGGCGGCGUGCCUAAUACAUGCAAGUCGAACGCUUCUUUCCUCCCGAGUGCUUGCACUCAAUUGGAAAGAGGAGUGGCGGACGGGUGAGUAACACGUGGGUAACCUACCCAUCAGAGGGGGAUAACACUUGGAAACAGGUGCUAAUACCGCAUAACAGUUUAUGCCGCAUGGCAUAAGAGUGAAAGGCGCUUUCGGGUGUCGCUGGUGGAUGGACCCGCGGUGCAUUAGCUAGUUGGUGAGGUAACGGCUCACCAAGGCCACGAUGCAUAGCCGACCUGAGAGGGUGAUCGGCCACACUGGGACUGAGACACGGCCCAGACUCCUACGGGAGGCAGCAGUAGGGAAUCUUCGGCAAUGGACGAAAGUCUGACCGAGCAACGCCGCGUGAGUGAAGAAGGUUUUCGGAUCGUAAAACUCUGUUGUUAGAGAAGAACAAGGACGUUAGUAACUGAACGUCCCCUGACGGUAUCUAACCAGAAAGCCACGGCUAACUACGUG
rnacentral:rRNA from 1 species